rnacentral:rRNA from 1 species
GACGAACGCUGGCGGCGUGCUUAACACAUGCAAGUCGAACGCGCCUGUCCUCUGGGUUUCUGGGGGGUGGGUGAGUGGCGCACGGGUGAGUAACACGUGAGUAACCUGCCCCCUUCUUCGGGAUAACGGUCUGAAAGGGCUGCUAAUACCGGGUAUUCACUGGUCUCCGCAUGGGGUCUGGUGGAAAGGUUUUUUUCUGGUGGGGGAUGGGCUCGCGGCCUAUCAGCUUGUUGGUGGGGUGAUGGCCCACCAAGGCUUUGACGGGUAGCCGGCCUGAGAGGGUGACCGGUCACAUUGGGACUGAGAUACGGCCCAGACUCCGACGGGAGGCAGCAGUGGGGAAUAUUGCACAAUGGGCGCAAGCCUGAUGCAGCGACGCCGCGUGAGGGAUGGAGGCCUUCGGGUUGUGAACCUCUUUCGCCCGUGGUCAAGCCGCGACGUGGGUCGUGGUGAGGGUAGUGGGUAAAGAAGCGCCGGCUAACUACGCG